GGGCUUGUGCGCUUUCCUACUGGCCCUCACAUCCGUCAGUCACGCCGUCGGAGACUGCAGCAGCAGCAGUGCGGGGUCACCUUCGGCGAAGUGUUCAUAUUUAGCUACACUGUUUAAUAUUGCAUUUGUAUGCCGGCAUAUAUAACACCGGUCAAACUAUUUAUACGCUGUAUCAGUGUGGUGACCCUAGGAAAUUAGAGUGACACGAGAAAGCCCUUCCCUGGGACUGGCCCUUCACUGCUUUGUGUUCUUCAGGGAAAAGGGAAAUGGGCCUUUUCUCCUGACUGAUGGCUCUGAGGCUGUUACCUUGGCAACUACACAGGGCUUCUGGACUCCCAACAAAUCGCAGAGCUGAUUCCUGUGA